rnacentral:rRNA from 1 species
GAGGUUAAGCGACUAAGCGUACACGGUGGAUGCCCUGGCAGUCAGAGGCGAUGAAGGGCGUGCUAAUCUGCGAUAAGCGCCGGUAAGGUGAUAUGAACCGUUAUAACCGGCGAUACCCGAAUGGGGAAACCCAGUGUGAUUCGUCACACUAUCAUUAACUGAAUCCAUAGGUUAAUGAGGCGAACCGGGGGAACUGAAACAUCUAAGUACCCCGAGGAAAAGAAAUCAACCGAGAUUCCCCCAGUAGCGGCGAGCGAACGGGGAGGAGCCCAGAGCCUGAAUCAGCAUGUGUGUUAGUGGAAGCGUCUGGAAAGGCGCGCGAUACAGGGUGACAGCCCCGUACACAAAAGCGCAUGUGCUGUGAGCUCGAUGAGUAGGGCGGGACACGUGGUAUCCUGUCUGAAUAUGGGGGGACCAUCCUCCAAGGCUAAAUACUCCUGACUGACCGAUAGUGAACCAGUACCGUGAGGGAAAGGCGAAAAGAACCCCGGCGAGGGGAGUGAAAAAGAACCUGAAACCGUGUACGUACAAGCAGUGGGAGCNNAUAGGGGAGCCGGAGGGAAACCGAGUCUUAAUUGGGCGUUAAGUUGCAGGGUAUAGACCCGAAACCCGGUGAUCUAGCCAUGGGCAGGUUGAAGGUUGGGUAACACUAACUGGAGGACCGAACCGACUAAUGUUGAAAAAUUAGCGGAUGACCUGUGGCUGGGGGUGAAAGGCCAAUCAAACCGGGAGAUAGCUGGUUCUCCCCGAAAGCUAUUUAGGUAGCGCCUCGUGAAUUCAUCUCCGGGGGUAGAGCACUGUUUCGGCUAGGGGGCCAUCCCGGCUUACCAACCCGAUGCAAACUGCGAAUACCGGAGAAUGUUAUCACGGGAGACACACGGCGGGUGCUAACGUCCGUCGUGAAGAGGGAAACAACCCAGACCGCCAGCUAAGGUCCCAAAGUCAUGGUUAAGUGGGAAACGAUGUGGGAAGGCCCAGACAGCCAGGAUGUUGGCUUAGAAGCAGCCAUCAUUUAAAGAAAGCGUAAUAGCUCACUGGUCGAGUCGGCCUGCGCGGAAGAUGUAACGGGGCUAAACCAUGCACCGAAGCUGCGGCAGCGAACGUAUCACCCAAGACAACUUUACGGAGUUGACGAUUGACGGAGCGAAGCGACGUCAAAGCGUUCAUUAAAGUCGAGUUGGCUUAGGGAUACGUUCGUUGGGUAGGGGAGCGUUCUGUAAGCCUGUGAAGGUGUGUCGUGAGGCAUGCUGGAGGUAUCAGAAGUGCGAAUGCUGACAUAAGUAACGAUAAAGCGGGUGAAAAGCCCGCUCGCCGGAAGACCAAGGGUUCCUGUCCAACGUUAAUCGGGGCAGGGUGAGUCGACCCCUAAGGCGAGGCCGAAAGGCGUAGUCGAUGGGAAACGGGUUAAUAUUCCCGUACUUGGUGUUACUGCGAAGGGGGGACGGAGAAGGCUAUGUUGGCCGGGCGACGGUUGUCCCGGUUUAAGCGUGUAGGUGUGUGUUCCAGGUAAAUCCGGUUCACUUUAACACUGAGGCGUGACGACGAGGCACUACGGUGCUGAAGCAACAAAUGCCCUGCUUCCAGGAAAAGCCUCUAAGCAUCAGGUAACACGAAAUCGUACCCCAAACCGACACAGGUGGUCAGGUAGAGAAUACCAAGGCGCUUGAGAGAACUCGGGUGAAGGAACUAGGCAAAAUGGUGCCGUAACUUCGGGAGAAGGCACGCUGACACGUAGGUGAAGUGAUUUACUCAUGGAGCUGAAGUCAGUCGAAGAUACCAGCUGGCUGCAACUGUUUAUUAAAAACACAGCACUGUGCAAACACGAAAGUGGACGUAUACGGUGUGACGCCUGCCCGGUGCCGGAAGGUUAAUUGAUGGGGUCAGCGUAAGCGAAGCUCCUGAUCGAAGCCCCGGUAAACGGCGGCCGUAACUAUAACGGUCCUAAGGUAGCGAAAUUCCUUGUCGGGUAAGUUCCGACCUGCACGAAUGGCGUAAUGAUGGCCAGGCUGUCUCCACCCGAGACUCAGUGAAAUUGAACUCGCUGUGAAGAUGCAGUGUACCCGCGGCAAGACGGAAAGACCCCGUGAACCUUUACUAUAGCUUGACACUGAACAUUGAGCCUUGAUGUGUAGGAUAGGUGGGAGGCUUUGAAGUGUGGACGCCAGUCUGCAUGGAGCCGACCUUGAAAUACCACCCUUUAAUGUUUGAUGUUCUAACGUGGACCCGUAAUCCGGGUUGCGGACAGUGUCUGGUGGGUAGUUUGACUGGGGCGGUCUCCUCCUAAAGAGUAACGGAGGAGCACGAAGGUUGGCUAAUCCUGGUCGGACAUCAGGAGGUUAGUGCAAUGGCAUAAGCCAGCUUGACUGCGAGCGUGACGGCGCGAGCAGGUGCGAAAGCAGGUCAUAGUGAUCCGGUGGUUCUGAAUGGAAGGGCCAUCGCUCAACGGAUAAAAGGUACUCCGGGGAUAACAGGCUGAUACCGCCCAAGAGUUCAUAUCGACGGCGGUGUUUGGCACCUCGAUGUCGGCUCAUCACAUCCUGGGGCUGAAGUAGGUCCCAAGGGUAUGGCUGUUCGCCAUUUAAAGUGGUACGCGAGCUGGGUUUAGAACGUCGUGAGACAGUUCGGUCCCUAUCUGCCGUGGGCGCUGGAGAACUGAGGGGGGCUGCUCCUAGUACGAGAGGACCGGAGUGGACGCAUCACUGGUGUUCGGGUUGUCAUGCCAAUGGCACUGCCCGGUAGCUAAAUGCGGAAGAGAUAAGUGCUGAAAGCAUCUAAGCACGAAACUUGCCCCGAGAUGAGUUCUCCCUGAGACUUAGAGUCUCCUGAAGGAACGUUGAAGACGACGACGUUGAUAGGCCGGGUGUGUAAGCGCAGCGAUGCGUUGAGCUAACCGGUACUAAUGAACCGUGAGGCUUAACCUUACAACGCCGAAG